rnacentral:rRNA from 1 species
GAUGAACGCUGGCGGCGUGCUUAACACAUGCAAGUCGAACGAAGCAUUUAAGCGGAAGUUUUCGGAUGGAAGCUUUUAUGACUGAGUGGCGGACGGGUGAGUAACGCGUGGGUAACCUGCCCUAUACAGGGGGAUAACAGUUGGAAACGACUGCUAAUACCGCAUAAGCGCACAGUAUCGCAUGAUACGGUGUGAAAAGCUCCGACGGUAUAGGAUGGGCCCGCGUCUGAUUAGCUAGUUGGCAGGGUAAUGGCCUACCAAGGCGACGAUCAGUAGCCGACCUGAGAGGGUGACCGGCCACAUUGGGACUGAGACACGGCCCAAACUCC